rnacentral:rRNA from 1 species
GACGGAGGAUGCAAGUGUUAUCCGGAAUCACUGGGCGUGAAGCGUCUGUAGGUGGUUUAAUAAGUCAACUGUUAAAUCUUGAGGCUCAACCUCAAAAUCGCAGUCGAAACUAUUAGGCUAGAGUAUAGUAGGGGUAAAGGGAAUUUCCAGUGGAGCGGUGAAAUGCGUAGAGAUUGGAAAGAACACCGAUGGCGAAGGCAGCCCCCUGGGUCAAGACUGACGCUCAUGCACGAAAGCGUGGGGAGCAAACAGG